rnacentral:rRNA from 1 species
GACGAACGCUGGCGGCGUGCUUAACACAUGCAAGUCGAACGGAAAGGCCCUGCUUGCAGGGUGCUCGAGUGGCGAACGGGUGAGUAACACGUGGGUGAUCUGCCCCUUACUUUGGGAUAAGCCUGGGAAACUGGGUCUAAUACUGGAUAGGACCAUGCUGUAGGUGGUGUGGUGGAAAGAUUUUUUCGGUAAGGGAUGAGCUCGCGGCCUAUCAGCUUGUUGGUGGGGUAAUGGCCUACCAAGGCGUCGACGGGUAGCCGGCCUGAGAGGGUGGACGGCCAAAUUGGGACGGGGAUACGGCCAAGACUCCUAGGGGGGGCAGCGGGGGGGAAUAUUUCACAAUGGGGGAAAGCCUGAUGCAGGGACGCCGCGUGGGGGAUGACGGCCUUGGGGUUGUAAACUCCUUUCAGCCAUGACGAAGCCUCUUUGGGGGUGACGGUAGGGGUAGAAGAAGCACCGGCUAACUACGU